AGUGAUAUUUGGUACUGGCAGUUCACAUUGAUCAAAUUCCACCUGUAUUUAGAAAAUACAAGCUACAUUUGUUAUUGGGUACUGUCCCAUUUUGUUAUGUCUGUAUGUUGAUUUCAGAGUUAGUGUUGCUUAUGACAAUAGUAAGUAAUUUUUAAAGAAUUCAACCUUAGUGUUAUCCAACUUCUGGUAGUGCUGGGGAAUUAUCCCCUGGCUAAUUCUUGUGUCAGUCUAACACCACUAUCAUUGAUGUGAGAAAGUGCCAUUGCAAAUUCACUGGGACAUGGCAUUGGUGGGCCAGUCUACACAGGAAGGCUGUUCUAGUUUUAGAACUAUUUCUGAUACAUGUGCCACUCAGAGCAUUCAAUAUGGAUCUGACACACUGUCCAGAAUUAUUUGGAUGGAAAUUCAAGAGAUCUCUUAUGUAUGAAAAAUUGUCACUGUUAGAUAAACUUUCUCAUGUGUACAUUUGUUCUGAGUAAAAAUGAAACACCAAUAAUACUGUUACUACUCUGAGUAGCCUCCAAAAUAUGCUUUGUGGAUGAACAAAGGAAAGGAUGUCUAAGUGGUUGAGAGAAAUCAUAUCGUUUAUGUUGUAUUUAUAAAAGAGUUGGGGGUUGGUUUUGCCCCUUUUUUUCUUAUAUGAUAAUUCAGAUCUGUCGUUUUCAGUGUUGCUUUUUAUGUGGGGAAAGAGAAGUCACUCAGUAGAUUAGUAUGUGCUUACAUUUCCAGGUAUAUUCAGGAAUGAUUCAGGAUGGAAGGGACCUGGGGAGGUCUCUGACCAGCUCAGAACAUGGCCAGCUCUGGGCUCACACCAAGUUACUCAGAGCUUUGGCCACUCUGGUCUAGAAAACCUCCAAGGAUGGAGGGUGUGAAACCUCUGGAGGCUCCAGUGCUGACCCUCCUAAGGGUGAGGAAGUGGAAUUGCCCUUGUGGAACAGGCCACGUUGUGUGUCUGGUCUGCACUGUCCUGCUGUGCUGCCUCUGCCCCAGGAGGAACUGUGUGCUGGUGCUAAUCUGAAACAGUCUGAGUGCUGUGCAGCCUGGGUUGUAAAAUGUGAGUCAUGGAACCGAAUGACAAUAUCCUGAGAAUGCUGGGAAUCAAUCAGUACACUGUGCAAGCAGUGCUGUUUGACAGAGGCAGUUUUGAGUUGGGAGUUAUACUCUGCAGAUUUCCUUGCAGGUGUGAUCUCGAGUGUGUGCUCUGGUCCAUCUCUCCUAGUUCAGACGCAGGUCCUAUUCCCACCACACCCACUGAAGUGUCUCUGAAUACUUUGUCAUUCUCAGUCAAUUAUUAAGGUUUAAAAAGUCUCAAAAUAAGGGUUCUUUCUUCCUGGAUAAUGAUCUCAGAAUUUUCAUUAUGAUGUUUGGCUCAGUAACAUGUUUCUUUUUAUGCACAUUUUAAAGGUAAUUCCUCCUAUUCUGUGACUGCACAACAUACAAGUUGUCUUUCUUGUGUAUGGAACACAGAUAUGAAUAUCAUGUUUACAGGAAUAUGUUGGAAAUGCAUUUGUCUGGGCAGCAGCUUUGGAACUUGUGCUGUGUCAUAUUCCUGCUCUCCAGCUGCAGAGUAACCACUGCUUGCGUUUGCCAUCGUUCAGGUCGUGUCACCCUGGGACUGAGGUGUUCCUGCAGCCAGAGUUCCAUUUGUUCCCUGAGCCCAGGCAAUGAUCCCACAUGGAGAUGGGAACAGGACACAGCAAACAAGGAGCUGAUGGCAGUCAGUGCUCAGCUCUGUGUCUGAACAAGCCUUUCCACUCUGACACUGUGUGUUGGUGCUGUGCUCCAGAGGACUGGGCAGCCUUGAAAUAACACCUUGGAACAGUGGUGGUCUGGGGUGGAACCACUGCUGGGAUGGAAUCAAGUGCUGAAUGAAUCCAGGCACUUCACUGAUGUGUCAGAGAUGAUUAUUUGAGUAUUUGGUGGGUUCUGCAUAACCUCACACAACAAUUUCCUGGUAAAAUCCCCACUUUCAGCUGGUUUUCCUGAGCAGUUAAUUGACACAGACACAGCUCUAGUCAAGGCAAACACCUCUUGUGGGCUGCUGUGGGAACCAGUUUCAUAGGAGCACAGCAGGCACCUGAAUGUCCUGUGGGACUCAGCUGUGACCUCAGCACACUCUCCAAGGGAACAGGAGUUGGUGCCCAGAGCCUGCAGCACUCAGGGCUGCUCAGCACCUGCUUCUGGAGGACUGGUGUGACACAGGAGCCAAGAUGUGGCACUGGCAGCCUGAGCCACCCUCAAGUGCUGAGCAGAAAUGAGUGAUGUGAACAGUGACAUUGGUGACUCCUGUUGUGUCAGAAUUACUGUGCCAGGGAUGGGAUCCAUGGCAAGGACAUUCUCCACGUGCAGUUAACAGGGAUGUGCAGGGGAGCAUCAAAGUGCUGCAAGUGCACUGUGUUUGUGCUGUUUCAACAACAACUUUCUGCAAGUCUUGAAGGAUCAACAGUGGUAGAGGUAAAUGCAUGAUAUUUUUCACUGGUUAUACCAACAUAAAAGUCUGUUCUCUUGCUCUCCAAGAAGAAUUAUCUUUUCCCUAUCUCUAUUUUUACUCAUUUAUGGGAAGAUGGUGUUAAAGAAGUGGGUUUCACAUUUUUCCAUGAUGGCAGAAAAACUUCUAUCUCACUAUGUCCAAAAUAUGCAUUUUACCCUAUGGGGUGCUGUGUACAUCAGAGCCUUCUCGGUUUUUCCCUUUUCCCAUUCUUAUUUUCCCCUUCCUUAUUUUCCCCUUCCUUUUUUUCUCCUUCUUUUUUUUCCCCUUUUCCCCCAUUUCCCUCUUUUCACCCCUUUUUCCUUUUUUUUUUCCCCUUUCAAUGACUCCUCAUGUACUGCUGAUACUACUGUGGAAUUUAUUGUACAGCUGUGGGAAACGUGCUUUCAUUGUAAAAUUACCAGGUGUCUGCUAAAUAUGGUAGCAUUCUUAAAAAAAUAAAAUGGUGCUAUUAACUGUUGUAUCUGUGUGUUUCAUUAUAAGUGUAAAGGAAUUCUGAACACAGCAAAACAUGGGAAAUUUUAGAAAUCUGAGAGAAGAUGACUGGGAGAUCAAAAUGCUUGUCAGCGUUUCAAUUUUCCUAUUUUUACAUACAAAAAUUAUAUAUUAAAAAAUAUCAUACUUUAAAAAAAGCCCUUUAUUUUGAAUGGGGAUCUUGAAAGUGAUGCAAAUAUAAGUAGCAUUUGUACUGUGCCUGUUUCUGUCGAUUUGUGCUGCUGAGUGAGGCAUGAACAGACUUCCAGUCACGUUUUUUUGAAGAUAAGUCUUUUUGUAACUGAACAGUGAGCUCCUAUGUGCACAUAUUUACAUAUGUACCAGCUCUUACUUGGCCUUGAAACUGUA